UUGUAAGUCUUUAAGAGCAAACGGUGGAUGCCUUGGCAUCUGGAGCCGAAGAAGGACGUAGCAAUCUGCGAUAAGCCUCGGGGAGCUGAUAAGCGAGCUUUGAUCCGUGGAUGUCCGAAUGGGGAAACCCCGCCAGGCGCACUUGUGUGACCUGGUGACUCCCGCCUGAAUAUAUAGGGCGGGUAGAGGGAACGUGGGGAAGGGAAACAUCUCAGUACCCACAGGAAGAGAAAACAACCGUGAUUCCGUGAGUAGUGGCGAGCGAAAGCGGAAGAGGCUAAACCGGGUGUGUGUGAUAGCCGGCAGGCGUUGCAUGCCCGGGGUUGCGGGACCCACUUGAACCUUCUGCCGAGGGUUCGACGUGACAGAAGCGUGUAGACGAACGGUCUUGAAUGGCCGGCCAGAGAAGGUGCCAGCCCUGUAGGCGAAAUGCGUGUUCUGGCGUAGUGGGGAUCCCAGGUAGCACGGGGCCCGAGAAAUCCCGUGUUAAUCUGUCAGGACCACCUGAUAAGCCUAAAUACGCCCAGAUGACCGAUAGCGGACAAGUACCGUGAGGGAAAGGUGAAAAGUACCCCGGGAGGGGAGUGAAAUAGUACCUGAAACCGUUUGCUUACAAACCGUCGGAGCCACCCUGGUUGUGGUGACGGCGUGCCUUUUGAAGAAUGAGCCUGCGAGUUAGUGAUACGUGGCGAGGUUAACCCGUGUGGGGAAGCCGUAGCGAAAGCGAGUCUGAAUAGGGCGAUUCAGUCGCGUGUCCUAGACCCGAAGCGAAGUGAUCUAUCCAUGGCCAGGUUGAAGCGACGGUAAGACGUCGUGGAGGACCGAACCCACUUAGGUUGAAAACUGAGGGGAUGAGCUGUGGAUAGGGGUGAAAGGCCAAUCAAACUUCGUGAUAGCUGGUUCUCUCCGAAAUGCAUUUAGGUGCAGCGUUGCGUGUUUCUUGCCGGAGGUAGAGCUACUGGAUGGCCGAUGGGCCUCAC
rnacentral:ncRNA from 1 species